UACGAAGGGUGCAAGCGUUACUCGGAAUUACUGGGCGUAAAGCGUGCGUAGGUGGUUCGUUAAGUCUGAUGUGAAAGCCCCGGGCUCAACCUGGGAAUUGCAUUCGAGACUGAAUAGCUAGGGUACGGUAGAGGGAAGCGGAAUUUCCGGUGUAGCGGUGAAAUGCGUAGAUAUCGGAAGGAACAUCAGUGGCGAAAGCGGCUUCCUGGACCAGUACCGACGUUCAGGCACGAAAGCGUGGGGAGCAAACAGG
rnacentral:rRNA from 1 species